UUCGCCCUUAGAGUUUGAUCAUGGCUCAGGAUGAACGCUGGCGGCGUGCCUAAUACAUGCAAGUCGAGCGAACGGACGAGAAGCUUGCUUCUCUGAUGUUAGCGGCGGACGGGUGAGUAACACGUGGAUAACCUACCUAUAAGACUGGGAUAACUUCGGGAAACCGGAGCUAAUACCGGAUAAUAUUUUGAACCGCAUGGUUCAAAAGUGAAAGACGGUCUUGCUGUCACUUAUAGAUGGAUCCGCGCUGCAUUAGCUAGUUGGUAAGGUAACGGCUUACCAAGGCAACGAUGCAUAGCCGACCUGAGAGGGUGAUCGGCCACACUGGAACUGAGACACGGUCCAGACUCCUACGGGAGGCAGCAGUAGGGAAUCUUCCGCAAUGGGCGAAAGCCUGACGGAGCAACGCCGCGUGAGUGAUGAAGGUCUUCGGAUCGUAAAACUCUGUUAUUAGGGAAGAACAUAUGUGUAAGUAACUGUGCACAUCUUGACGGUACCUAAUCAGAAAGCCACGGCUAACUACGUGCCAGCAGCCGCGGUAAUACGUAGGUGGCAAGCGUUAUCCGGAAUUAUUGGGCGUAAAGCGCGCGUAGGCGGUUUUUUAAGUCUGAUGUGAAAGCCCACGGCUCAACCGUGGAGGGUCAUUGGAAACUGGAAAACUUGAGUGCAGAAGAGGAAAGUGGAAUUCCAUGUGUAGCGGUGAAAUGCGCAGAGAUAUGGAGGAACACCAGUGGCGAAGGCGACUUUCUGGUCUGUAACUGACGCUGAUGUGCGAAAGCGUGGGGAUCAAACAGGAUUAGAUACCCUGGUAGUCCACGCCGUAAACGAUGAGUGCUAAGUGUUAGGGGGUUUCCGCCCCUUAGUGCUGCAGCUAACGCAUUAAGCACUCCGCCUGGGGAGUACGACCGCAAGGUUGAAACUCAAAGGAAUUGACGGGGACCCGCACAAGCGGUGGAGCAUGUGGUUUAAUUCGAAGCAACGCGAAGAACCUUACCAAAUCUUGACAUCCUUUGACAACUCUAGAGAUAGAGCCUUCCCCUUCGGGGGACAAAGUGACAGGUGGUGCAUGGUUGUCGUCAGCUCGUGUCGUGAGAUGUUGGGUUAAGUCCCGCAACGAGCGCAACCCUUAAGCUUAGUUGCCAUCAUUAAGUUGGGCACUCUAAGUUGACUGCCGGUGACAAACCGGAGGAAGGUGGGGAUGACGUCAAAUCAUCAUGCCCCUUAUGAUUUGGGCUACACACGUGCUACAAUGGACAAUACAAAGGGCAGCGAAACCGCGAGGUCAAGCAAAUCCCAUAAAGUUGUUCUCAGUUCGGAUUGUAGUCUGCAACUCGACUACAUGAAGCUGGAAUCGCUAGUAAUCGUAGAUCAGCAUGCUACGGUGAAUACGUUCCCGGGUCUUGUACACACCGCCCGUCACACCACGAGAGUUUGUAACACCCGAAGCCGGUGGAGUAACCUUUUAGGAGCUAGCCGUCGAAGGUGGGACAAAUGAUUGGGGUGAAGUCGUAACAAGGUAAC
rnacentral:rRNA from 1 species